GUGGGGAAUAUUGGACAAUGGGCGAAAGCCUGAUCCAGCCAUGCCGCGUGUGUGAAGAAGGUCUUCGGAUUGUAAAGCACUUUAAGUUGGGAGGAAGGGCAGUAAGUUAAUACCUUGCUGUUUUGACGUUACCAACAGAAUAAGUACCGGCUAACUUCGUGCCAGCAGCCGCGGUAAUACGAAGGGUGCAAGCGUUAAUCGGAAUUACUGGGCGUAAAGCGCGCGUAGGUGGUUCAGCAAGUUGGAGGUGAAAUCCCCGGGCUCAACCUGGGAACUGCCUCCAAAACUACUGAGCUAGAGUACGGUAGAGGGUAGUGGAAUUUCCUGUGUAGCGGUGAAAUGCGUAGAUAUAGGAAGGAACACCAGUGGCGAAGGCGACUACCUGGACUGAUACUGACACUGAGGUGCGAAAGCGUGGGGAGCAAACAGGAUUAGAUACCCUUGUAGUCC
rnacentral:rRNA from 1 species